ACGAAGGGGGCUAGCGUUGCUCGGAAUCACUGGGUUUAAAGGGUGCGUAGGCGGCUGAAUAAGUCAGUGGUGAAAGCUCGCAGCUUAACUGUGAAACUGCCAUUGAAACUGUUUAGCUUGAAUCUGGUUGAAGUGGGCGGAAUACAUCAUGUAGCGGUGAAAUGCUUAGAUAUGAUGUAGAACACCGAUUGCGAAGGCAGCUCACUAAGCCAUCAUUGACGCUGAGGCACGAAAGCGUGGGUAGCGAACAGGA
rnacentral:rRNA from 1 species